UCUUAAACAGCAAUCCUGAAGUGUGUGCUGUCUUAGCACUGAUCAGAAAGCAAUGUCCUUCCAUCUUGAUUUCAUGAAGAACAAGUAAAGCUGCAAAAUUCUUGAGAGCUAAUUGAAUUUCUCUUUUCAAAGUACCGAAAGAAACAGUAGAGCUACUUG